UACGUAGGGUGCGAGCGUUAAUCGGAAUUACUGGGCGUAAAGCGUGCGCAGGCGGUGAUGUAAGACAGGUGUGAAAUCCCCGGGCUUAACCUGGGAACUGCAUUUGUGACUGCAUCGCUGGAGUGCGGCAGAGGGGGAUGGAAUUCCGCGUGUAGCAGUGAAAUGCGUAGAUAUGCGGAGGAACACCGAUGGCGAAGGCAUCCCCUGGGCCUGCACUGACGCUCAUGCACGAAAGCGUGGGGAGCAAACAGGAUUAG
rnacentral:rRNA from 1 species